CAUAAACCCCGCUUGGUAGUACUAAAGGGAAGUAAACCAAACACUGACUCCCAAACAGAGUGGAUACAUAUCUUGGGGGAUGAUAGUUUUAAUGUUGCAGUUCCUUCUUGAGAAGAUUGGCUCAGCCCAGCCCAUGUUUGUCUGUGAACGUCUGUCUCCACCGCAUAGUGCAAACUCCUCUGAACCAGCCCGUUGGACAGAAUUGGACCUGAGAGCUGUGCUACAUUUGAAGGGAAGGGAAUAGAAGGAGAGAAAACCAUCAGCCUCCACAGGAGAGUCAAGAAGCACUUUGUGUCUCUUCCCAAAGGUGAAGAGUGCCAGGUGAGAAAAUUCAAAAUGCAAAACCAGGACUGAACAAAGAGCCUUCGGGAAUCAGAGAUAUCCCAGAAAGGACCGCUGGCUGAGGUGCCGGAAAUGUGGAAGUCACUUUGGUCCCGGUGAGAAUGAUUCGGGAUCCUUUCUCUCUCGACUCCGAUAAAGUGCUUGGCAGCAACCGAGCGACCGAAGGAAGUCAGCGUUCACAGGAGGCAAAGUCAUGGAGGAAGUCAGAGAAUAUCCGCCCUGGUUCGGGAUGGAACAGGAGUACCUGCUGUUUGGUUUGGAUGGACGGCCCUUCGGGGGGCCUCCUCUGGGAUGCUCAACAAUGAUUUUUUUUUGACAGUGCUUUUAAAUGUGUCUAACAACGCAUCAUAAUCCACCAACUUCAGCACCAAGAAGAGACUCCAUACGUCUCGACCACUGAGCGGCGAACAUCCCAAAUGCCCCGUCCUUUGCUCUCGGUGCACAAGCAGAUAGACAUUUAAACAUGAACCUGUGUGUGAGACAACAGGUUCAUCGAAGAGGCAUCAGAAGGUUGCACAAGCGUCACUUUCAGCACCUCCGUGUUCUACACAAUGACAAAUAUCCAAAUGCGGACAUUUUCUGUGAAUGAGAUGAAAAAUGAAAAAUAAGAUUGAUUGUAAAUUAAGCAGAAACAUGUUAGGUCUAGUCAAGUUGAUGUGUCUUUCACCAAGAAAACAACUUUAGAAACAGUUCAUUCAUACAUCUACACGUAAAUUGCUGAAACAAUGAAGCGACCUAGAAUUUAAAUGAAAUAAAAUAUACAAUAAAAAAAGCAGAGGAUGCUCUAUUGAGGCUAAGAAGUAAUUUCUAUGAGAGUGGGGGAAAUCUGGAAAACUAUUAGCCAGACAAUUACAACAAAAAGAGACGAGACUAUAGACGGUGUACGAAGAAUCAUUCUCUUUGGGGAAGCAAAAACACAACGAUGCUCGGAUAUCCU